AACGAACGCUGGCGGCAGGCUUAACACAUGCAAGUCGAACGAUGUAGCAAUACAUAGUGGCGCACGGGUGAGUAACGCGUGGGAAUAUACCUUAUAGUGGGGAAUAACUUUGGGAAACUAAAGCUAAUACCGCAUACGCCCGAGAGGGGAAAGAUUUAUCGCUAUAAGAUUAGCCCGCGUGAGAUUAGGUAGUUGGUGGGGUAAUGGCCUACCAAGCCUACGAUCUCUAGCUGGUCUGAGAGGAUGAUCAGCCACACUGGAACUGAGACACGGUCCAGACUCCUACGGGAGGCAGCAGUGGGGAAUAUUGGGCAAUGGACGAAAGUCUGACCCAGCCAUGCCGCGUGAAUGAUGAGGGCCUUAGGGUUGUAAAGUUCUUUCGCCCACGACGAUGAUGACGGUAGUGGGAGAAGAAGCCCCGGCUAACUUCGUGCCAGCAGCCGCGGUAAU
rnacentral:rRNA from 1 species